GUGGUUCCAUUCCAACAGAGAUCGGAAUGCUAUCCAAUCUACGUGAUUUGUUCAUGGGUACCAACAAAUUCGAGGGAAAGAUUCCUCCCACAAUUGGA
rnacentral:ribozyme from 1 species